AGUGAACCCGCCUAUAGCUGUUUCCACUCAAGUCCUGGUAGAAGACUUACCAAAUGACUUACCCCAAGAGUAGUCUGGCCUGCUAUGUAUUUCCAGUGCCUUUUUAAGAGUGAGUGGUAACCAUCCACUGCCACACUCACCCAGGUUCAGAGUGACAGCUGGCAGGAGAAUAUCCUACUGCCAAAGUGAGGAUGCCUGUCUGUGCCAGAAGGAAGGUGUUUGUAAGACAACCAGACUGGGGACCAUUGUAAUGUGAAAACUAUCAGAAGUGUAUUUCUCAAGAAGAGUCACCACAGUAUGGUGGUAAUGAAGGAACUAUUUCACAAAAAGAAAGUUCUGGGGUAGACCUUUCUACAAUCUGCAGAUCUUCAGCACAGCUCCAAGUAUUGUAUCACUGCUUGGCUCCCUCAUCCGUGUCUGUAAAUGUGAAAAGGGAAGAAGCCUUCACCACCUGAGGGCAUGAAGACACCAGAUGACACAUUUGCCUUGAAGCUGUUUCUGUGGGAUUUGUUGUCUUGUAUUCACUACUUUCUCUAA